CCCUUAGAUGUUCCGGGCCGCACGCGUGCUACACUGAGUGGAUCAGCGGGUCAGGUUACGCGAGAGCGUUUCCUAAUCUUCAAAUCCGCUCGUGAUGGGGAUUGACGGUUGCAAUUUUCCGUCAUGAACGAGGAAUACCUUGUAAGCGCGGGUCAUCAUCCCGCGCUGAAUACGUCCCUGCCCUUUGUACACACCGCCCGUCGCUCCUACCGAUUGAGUGGUCCGGUGAGGCUUUGGGAUCUAAGCGAAAAGAGCGUUUCGCUCCUUUUGCUGGGAGAACUCAGUCGAACCUUAUCAUUUAGAGGAAGGAGAAGUCGUAACA
rnacentral:rRNA from 1 species